UUACAUUGAAGCCUAGCGAUAUGUAAGUUAGUGGCGGACGGGUGAGUAACGCGUGGGUAACCUGCCUCACACUGGGGGACAACAGUUAGAAAUGACUGCUAAUACCGCAUAAGCGCACAGGACCGCAUGGUCCGGUGUGAAAAACUCUGGUGGUGUGAGAUGGACCCGCGUCUGAUUAGCCAGUUGGCAGGGUAACGGCCUACCAAAGCGACGAUCAGUAGCCGACCUGAGAGGAAGGUCCCCACAUUGGAACUGAGACACGGUCCAAACUCC
rnacentral:rRNA from 1 species